rnacentral:rRNA from 1 species
CUAGAAGAUGACGAGCGGCGGACGGGUGAGUAACGCGUAGGAAUCUGCCUAGUAGUGGGGGACAACAUGUGGAAACGCAUGCUAAUACCGCAUACGCCCUACGGGGGAAAGGAGGGGAUCUUCGGACCUUUCGCUAUUAGAUGAGCCUGCGUGAGAUUAGCUAGUUGGUGGGGUAAAGGCCUACCAAGGCGACGAUCUCUAGCUGGUCUGAGAGGAUGAUCAGCCACACUGGGACUGAGACACGGCCCAGACUCCUACGGGAGGCAGCAGUGGGGAAUAUUGGACAAUGGGCGCAAGCCUGAUCCAGCCAUGCCGCGUGUGUGAAGAAGGCCUUAGGGUUGUAAAGCACUUUCAGGAGUGAGGAAGGGUGUAUGGUUAAUACCCGUAUAUUUUGACGUUAACUCCAGAAGAAGCACCGGCUAACUCUGUGCCAGCAGCCGCGGUAAUACAGAGGGUGCGAGCGUUAAUCGGAAUUACUGGGCGUAAAGCGCGCGUAGGCGGUUUGUUAAGUCGGAUGUGAAAUCCCAGGGCUCAACCUUGGAAUGGCACCCGAUACUGGCAGGCUAGAGUACGGUAGAGGGGUGUGGAAUUUCCUGUGUA